CUAGUACAAUAGCAGGCUCUGCAGCUCCUGGAACCAGCUCGAAGAUUCUGCCAACCGCUAAGUUCUGAGAACCAUCUCCAAGGGCCCUUCCAGUGGCAGACCUGAGAAUCUUUCUGCAUUGCUGAACCCUUCCAUAUCCAGCUUGUAGCCAGCUUCCCGUGAUCAGGAAGCUUCAGAGUCCACUCCUAGAAAUAUUCUCCCCUUCUCCGCCAGUCCCUGCUGGUUUGCUCCUGUGGCUCCUCUGAGGUAUUGCACAAGCCAGGGCACCCCCGUCCACCUGAGCCCUGCCCCAGGUGACCAAGGUGGAAGCUGAGCAGCUGGGACCGCCCGCACGCCAGCCCCCACCAGUGGCGGGGCCUCAUCACAACUGGCCAGCACGGCAUCCAACACCAGACGCCCAUCCUUGGAGGCGGCUUCUGGGACCGCUCCGGAGACUCCCUGCCUUCGGAAGCAGCACCUGAGGCAGGGUUUGGGAGCAGGGACCUCCCAGCAGGGAUUUCGUCAGGGACAAACCCCUCAGAGGGAGAAGGAAGCAGGAGGAAGAGGAAAGGCCGAGCAGAGCAAGGAUGUGGUCUCAGGCUCAGCCCAGCCUUGGCCUGAGGCCCAAGUUGCCCCACAGACUCAACCACGUCUGGAGGCGAGGGGACAGCCUCUUACAUGCUGCAUCAGUCAGCCGUUGGCUACGGGCUGUCCCCGGAACCUUCCAGGCCUGUGGCUCCGGCAGCCGAGGGCACUUCUCCAGAGCAG
rnacentral:lncRNA from 1 species